rnacentral:sRNA from 1 species
ACACGAGAAAGGAGGUGGUCUGAAGUUGUAUGACAUACGGACACGUGAGGUGGCCAUCCGCUAACGGCGGACCGCCUGUGACUUAGGCACUUUCGCCGGCACUUGUGCUCGUUGGCGAAUACCAGAUGGUCACCCGACCCCCGCAUCCGGCCGUCCGGCCGAUGUGCCCGUCCCUGACGGGUGAUGCGGGGGUCGUUCCGU